rnacentral:rRNA from 1 species
UACGGGGGGGGCAAGCGUUGUUCGGAUUUACUGGGCGUAAAGGGCGCGUAGGCGGCCACCGCAAGUCAGUUGUGAAAGCUCUGGGCUUAACCCAGAAAGGUCAGCUGAUACUGCGGGGCUAGAGUGCAGAAGGGGCAACUGGAAUUCUCGGUGUAGCGGUGAAAUGCGUAGAUAUCGAGAGGAACACCUGCGGCGAAGGCGGGUUGCUGGGCUGACACUGACGCUGACAGCGCGAAAGCUAGGGGAGCGAACGGG